GCUCCGGUCGUCUAGCGGUUCAGGACGCCGCCCUUUCACGGCGGUAACGUGGGUUCAAAUCCCAUUCGGAGUACGA
rnacentral:tRNA from 1 species